AUUUGACCUCGGAUCAGGUAG
rnacentral:rRNA from 1 species